UUAUUCUCAACUUUCAAAGUUUGUUGCAUUCUUUGAAAGCUUUGGAUUAUUGGAGGAAUAUUGCUGGCAAAUCUAUGCUGGCUCCUCUUAAAUACAUUAGCGGAACUGUCAAGGGAAUUUGGCUCUGGUUUGAUAAGUCUAUACCAUUGCUGAGAGCUUUUCAUAGUUCAGCUUCUUUAAUCUCAUAUUUUUGAA
rnacentral:misc_RNA from 1 species